CCUUCGAUAGCUCAGUUGGUAGAGCGGAGGACUGUAGAUCCUUAGGUCGCUGGUUCGAACCGGCUCGAAGGA
rnacentral:tRNA from 1 species